rnacentral:rRNA from 1 species
UACGUAGGGGGCAAACGUUGUUCGGAAUUACUGGGCAUAAAGAGCACGUAGGUGGUGCGCUAAGUCACGUGUGAAAGCCCACGGCUCAACCGUGGAAGUGCCUUUGAUACUGGCGGCCUGGAGGGAGGUAGGGGCGUGCGGAACUUCCGGUGGAGCGGUGAAAUGCGUAGAUAUCGGAAGGAACACCGGUGGCGAAAGCGGCGCGCUGGACCUCUUCUGACGCUGAGGCGCGAAAGCCAGGGGAGCAAACGGG